rnacentral:rRNA from 1 species
UACGUAGGGGGCGAGCGUUGUCCGGAGUUACUGGGCGUAAAGGGCGUGCAGGCGGUGCAGUAAGUUUGGAGUGACAGUACCCGGCUCAACUGGGUAAGGCCUUCGAAAACUGCUGGACUUGAGGGCCAGGGAGGGACAUAGAAUUCCGGGUGGAGUGGUGAAAUGCGUAGAUAUCCGGAGGAAUACCAAAGGCGAAGGCAGUGUCCUGGCUGGCAUCUGACGCUGAGGCGCGAAAGCUAGGGGAGCGAACAGG